UUUCUGGUGGUUUAGUGGUUAGCACGUUCGCCUCACACCUCCAGGGUCGGGGGUUCGAGUCCCACCCUGUGUG